rnacentral:lncRNA from 1 species
GUUUUGUCUGGCCGUAAUCUCAAGAGUGGGGUCUACCAUGUUUACAUGUUUACCCUUGUUUCCAGGUGACUUCCAGGACCUCAUCCUGAAUGUAGUUGGGAUGAGAAGAUGAUGUGACCUCCUGGUCUCCAGGCAUCCAUGACCUAACAGACUGCACUGUGUCAGGAUUCAGCUAUGCCUGGUGCAGCUGGACUAGGUCCCACUUUGGGUCUUAUAAGGAAGGAUCGACUUGUGUGUGGCCUCCAAUGCAGUUUCACUUGUCUUCAAAGCCCUCCGCAGAAUGUCCCUGUCAAUCACCAAACUGCUCUUCCAAGUAUAUUUUCCAGGAAGAAGGAAGCCCGUGGCGGGGGGGGUGGGUGGAAAAGGGAGGGUAGUGGAGACGACGAGAGAAGGAAGAAAGAAAAAGCACGACGGAAUAUAAGGAAGGAAAGAUAGAGAGAAUGGGAGAAUGACAGCUACCCAGGCAGAGAGGAAGAACAGGAAACGCAGUCCCUGGGGAGGGGUGGGGGGAACAAAAACAACAAAAAACCUCGAAUAAACUACAAAUUCC